rnacentral:rRNA from 1 species
CUUGGAAGCAGCUAUUCAUUCAAAGAGUGCGUAACAGCUCACUAGUCGAGCGACAGAGCGUGGAUAAUAAACGGGCAUCAAGCAUAUCACCGAAGUUCUGGGCGCGAGAGCGCGGUAGGGGAGCAUUCCAUUCAGCGUCGAAGCAGUUUCGUGAGGAAUUGUGGAGCGUAUGGAAAAGCAAAUGUAGGCAUGAGUAACGAUAAUGCGGGAGAGUAACCCGCACACCGCAAGACCAAGGUUUCCUGAUCAACGCUAAUCGGAUCAGGGUUAGUCGGGUCCUAAGGGUAAGCCGAACGGCGAUCUCGAUGGAUAAUCGGUUAAUAUUCCGAUACUAACAUAUACCUCGAUGGAGAGACGAAGGAACGUAAGUGCCGCCACCUGACGGAAUAGGUGGUUAAAGGGCGUAGGUAUAGGGGCAGAUUAAGAGUUAGUCCUUGCUGAAACCUGACAGUACAGAGAGCCUACGGGCAAUUUGAUAGAGCACCCAAGUCGACUUCCGAGAAAAUCUUCUAAGUUAUAGUAUAUGUUACCCGUACCGUAAACCGACACAGGUGGUCGAGGAGAGUAUCCUAAGGUGCUCGAGUGAAUCACGGUUAAGGAACUAGGCAAAUUAACCCCGUAACUUCGGGAAAAGGGGUCCCUAUGAAAGUAGGGCGCAGCGAAGAGGUCCAGGCGACUGUUUAUCAAAAACACAGGGCUCUGCAAAUUCGAAAGAAGACGUAUAGGGCCUGACACCUGCCCGGUGCUGGAAGGUUAAGAGGGGAUGUCAUCGCAAGAGAAGCAUUGAAUCGAAGCCCCAGUAAACGGCGGCCGUAACUAUAACGGUCCUAAGGUAGCGAAAUUCCUUGUCGGGUAAGUUCCGACCUGCACGAAUGGUGUAACGAUCUGGACACUGUCUCAACCGUGAGCUCGGUGAAAUUGUAGUCCCGGUGAUGAUGCCGGGUACCCGCAACGGGACGAAAAGACCCCGUGAACCUUUACUAUAGCUUAACGCUGAAUUUGGGUACACAAUGUGUAGGAUAGGCCGGAGGCUUUGAAGCGGGCACGCCAGUGUUCGUGGAGCCGACGUUGAAAUACGGCCCUUUGUGUAUUUGAGUUCUAACCCUGCGAAGGGGACACCGUUUGGUGGGUAGUUUGACUGGGGUGGUCGCCUCCAAAAGCGUAACGGAGGCUUCCCAAGGUACCCUCAGCACGAAUGGUAACCGUGCGCGGAGUGCAAUAGCAUAAGGGUGCUUGACUGUGAGACAUACAAGUCGACCAGGUACGAAAGUAGGGUAUAGUGAUCCGGUGGUUCUGCGUGGACUGGCCAUCGCUCAAAGGAUAAAAGGUACUCCGGGGAUAACAGGCUGAUCGCCGCCAAGAGCUCAUAUCGACGCGGCGGUUUGGCACCUCGAUGUCGGCUCGUCACAUCCUGGGGCUGGAGAAGGUCCCA